rnacentral:rRNA from 1 species
AAGCGGAGGAAAAGAAACCAACAGGGAUUGCCCUAGUAACGGCGAGUGAAGCGGCAACAGCUCAAAUUUGAAAUCUGGCGUCAGCCCGAGUUGUAAUUUGUAGAGGAUGCUUCUGGGUAGCGGCCGGUCUAAGUUCCUUGGAACAGGACGUCAUAGAGGGUGAGAAUCCCGUAUGUGACUGGCUUGCACCCUCCACGUAGCUCCUUCGACGAGUCGAGUUGUUUGGGAAUGCAGCUCUAAAUGGGAGGUAAAUUUCUUCUAAAGCUAAAUACCGGCCAGAGACCGAUAGCGCACAAGUAGAGUGAUCGAAAGAUGAAAAGCACUUUGGAAAGAGAGUUAAAAAGCACGUGAAAUUGUUGAAAGGGAAGCGCCCGCAACCAGACUUUGCGGCGGUGUUCGGCUGGUCUUCUGACCGGUUUACUCGCCGCCGUGAGGCCAUCAUCGUCUGGGACCGCUGGAUAAGACCUGAGGAAUGUAGCUCCCUUCGGGGUGUGUUAUAGCCUCUGGUGAUGCAGCGCGUCUCGGGCGAGGUCCGCGCUUCGGCAAGGAUGAUGGCGUAAUGGUUGUCGGCGGCCCGUCUUGAAACACGGACCAAGGAGUCUAACAUCUAUGCGAGUGUUCGGGUGUCAAACCCCUACGCGUAAUGAAAGUGAACGGAGGUGGGAACUUUUUGUGCACCAUCGACCGAUCCUGAUGUCCUCGGAUGGAUUUGAGUAAGAGCAUAGCUGUUGGGACCCGAAAGAUGGUGAACUAUGCCUGAAUAGGGUGAAGCCAGAGGAAACUCUGGUGGAGGCUCGCAGCGGUUCUGACGUGCAAAUCGAUCGUCAAAUUUGGGUAUAGGGGCGAAAGACUAAUCG